UUAACACAUGCAUACCUUCUCUUAAGCAGGUAGUGUUUAUAUCUCUAUAACGGCAUUAACAGUCCAAUGCAUGUGUACGGAUUCAGCAGGAAGAGCUACCACUAAGUGUCUUCAAAGAUGGCCCAUGUUACCUGUAUGAGAGAGGAUGUGCUCUGAAGUAGGUCCAAAGGAAUUCAAGUUCAGUGCAGAUUAAACCAUGUCUCUAACAGAACAGUUCCUGUCAUGUAGGAGGUGAUUGUUCUGGCUGCUAUUCCCUGAGUUUAGCACCACUCCUCAACCCUGCACCCUCAUGCUUUCCCUUGGACCAAAGGGCUGGGAAGCCUGAACGUUACAGUCUCAGAAUUGCAUGUCAGCAGAGUCAAAGCUCAUGUCCUUGCAACUAGAGUGACUUGUGUUGGGGAUGUGAAAGGAGACAUGGCUGACUAACACCCGUUGUCACCGGUGCUACCAUUUUUACAUUGCUCUAUGAUCUCAUAUUUUCCGAGUGGGUCAAUGUUUAAUAAUAUUUGUUAAACAGAGGAAACAAGCGCUCUAUAUAAUGAGAUUAUUGUCCCUUCCUCACAGUUACAGAAGAGAAGCUCCCAGAGAUGAGGCAGUAGAAAAUCUCCUGUCCAGGUAUCAGCUGUCAGGGUCGAGUUUUGAUCCCCAGACUGUUUCCCAUCCAGGCGCUUUAGCUUUUUGCACUCAGCUGUGCCUUCAGUAAUCCCCCCCCCCCACCCCCCGUGUUGCUGCCCCAAUCUUAUCUCUGCAGUUAAGCACUGUGUUCAGCUUUCCUCCUGCUGGUGUACCAAACUGCAGCUGGAACCAUCCCUAUAGAUUGGAAGUAUAUAUUAACUGUUAUAACGAGCAGCUUAUUAAAUAUGUACUAUACCUGCUGAGACUCCCUGUCAAAAAUGUACUUUGUGUCUACAGGGCCACUAAGAAUCCAGUGUGUGGAUGACCCAGAACUGAAGCUCACAGCGUACCAACUGAGGGAGCAAUUGAAUUAAAGUUCACUGGCCACAAA